UUUCAGUGUUGAUAUUCCAAUAAACACCUAACAAAGGUCAUGUCUGCUGUGCCCCUCCUCUCUGUCUCCCUCUAGAGCAAGGUGGGCAUGCUGCAGUUGUUUGUGCGGGACCUGAGUGAGCAGAAUGAGGUUCUGAUCCAGGCGCUGGAGGCUGAGGAGGCGGAGGACCGGGUGGUGGAGGGGAGAACAGUCAGCCUUCACAAAGAGCUGGAGGGGAGUACUACUGACUCGACAGGAUCCAGUCCAGUCCCACACCUUACAGAACAGAGGGGCAGAGAACUGCUGAAGACUGAGUUAUCACGUUGGGACGCAACCAUCCAGAGGCUCCAGCGAGAUGUGCUGCUCUCCCACCAGGCCCGCGACUCCCAGUCUGCUCAGCUGGAUGUCCAUGGGCAGAGGAUCUCUCAGCUGCAGACGGAGCUACAGGAGAGACAACUGGAGCUCCAGAGGGGACACAGCCGAAGAGAGCAGCAGCAGAGGGACCUGCAGACCCAGACACAGCAGGCAGAGGAGCUCCACACUCAGCUGGCUGAGGUCAAAGGGCGUCUUGUGCAGGUGGAGGGAGAAAAUGUGGCACUCAUGGGAUAUAAGCUGGAGCUGAGAGCCGAGGCUAAGGAGCAGACCCAAAAGUUCCAGGACACGGUGUCCAGUCUGAAGAGCCAGCAUGGCUGUGUUAGUCAGCAGCUGCAGGACAGGAGUGCUGAGGUGCAGAGGCUCCAGAGGUCAUUGGCUGAGCUACAUGGGCGAGAGAUGGAGUGGGAGAGAGAGACAUCCGCCCUGCAGGGCCAGCUGGGCCUUGCCAGAGAGGAGCUCCACAGCGCCAUCCUCAGGAGGCAGGCACAGCAGCAGAAGGAAGAGCUGUUUGGUGAGCUGCAGAGGGAGGUGGACAGACUGAAGAAUGAGAGACAGGAGAUGCGAAAAAAGCUUUGUGGUAGAGAAGAGGAGCUGAAGAGGCUGAGAGACGAGCAGCAUCAGCUCAAGGACAAGGUGAGGGAGAGCGAUGUGCAGGCUGUGUGGCUGCAGAGCCAGGCAGACGUGGUGGGUCGGGAGCUGUGGGAGGAGAGUGCCCAGCGCGACAGGGAGCUGUGGGAGUGGAGGGACCGCUACCAUGCUGUCUCAGAGGGACUGAGGUUGAGGGAGGCUGGGCUUGAGGAGGUGCAGAGGGCCAGGGACACAGCCCUCAGAAGCCUGAGAUUACAGGAGGAGAAGACCCACAGUCUGGGGGCCCAGAGGCAGGAGAUGCAGCACAGCCUGGAGGGCCUACAGGACAGGCUUGCCCAGAAGGAGGAGAUGGUCGUGGCUCUCAGAGUGAAGCUGCAGGACCAUGAAGAAGACGCCCGUGUUCUCCGCCAACAGCUGCUCUCCUCCCAAGAUGCACUGCAGCAAGUUACUGCCGAGCUGAGGUCAUGUAAAAGAGAGAGGGAGAAGCAGGAUAGCCAGUGUGUGGAGACAGAGGAGAGACUGGCUGAGAUCAGAGCUGAUCUGGUCCAACUACAGCAGCAGUAUACCACCUGCUAUGCCCAGCUGGUCCAGGAGGAGGCUGGGGUGGGCAGGCUGAGGGAGGAGCUGCGACCUGAGCCAUGA
rnacentral:lncRNA from 1 species